AACUCAAAGGAAUUGACGGGGGCCCGCACAAGCGGUGGAUGAUGUGGUUCAAUUCGAUGCAACGCGAAAAACCUUACCUACCCUUGACAUGCCAGGAAGCCUAAUGAAAGUCGGGUGUGCCCGAAAGGGAACCUGGACACAGGUGCUGCAUGGCUGUCGUCAGCUCGUGUCGUGAGAUGUUGGGUUAAGUCCCGCAACGAGCGCAACCCUUGCCACUAGUUGCUACAUUCAGUUGGGCACUCUAGUGGGACUGCCGGUGACAAACCGGAGGAAGGUGGGGACGACGUCAAGUCCUCAUGGCCCUUAUGGGUAGGGCUACACACGUCAUACAAUGGCGCAUACAGAGGGCUGCCAACCCGCGAGGGGGAGCAAAUCCCAGAAAGUGCGUCGUAGUCCGGAUUGAAGUCUGCAACUCGACUUCAUGAAGUCGGAAUCGCUAGUAAUCGCGGAUCAGCAUGUCGCGGUGAAUACGUUCCCGGGCCUUGUACACACCGCCCGUC
rnacentral:rRNA from 1 species